UUUACGGAGAGUUUGAUCCUGGCUCAGGACGAACGCUGGCGGCGUGCCUAACACAUGCAAGUCGAGCGGUCCGGCGGGAUAAGCUUGCUUGUCCUACCGGAUAGCGGCGCACGGGUGAGUAACGCGUGGGCAACCUGCCCGGAAGACCGGGAUAACCCCGGGAAACUGGGGCUAAUACCGGAUACGUUCCUUUAGGGGCA
rnacentral:rRNA from 1 species